CCUACGGGAGGCAGCAGUAGGGAAUUUUCCGCAAUGGGCGAAAGCCUGACGGAGCAAUACCGCGUGAGGGAUGACUGCCUAUGGGUUGUAAACCUCUUUUUUCAGGGAGGAAUAAAUGACGUGUACCUGAAGAAUAAGCAUCGGCUAACUCCGUGCCAGCAGCCGCGGUAAGACGGAGGAUGCAAGUGUUAUCCGGAAUCACUGGGCGUAAAGCGUCUGUAGGUGGCUCGACAAGUCAACUGUUAAAUCUUGAAGCUCAACUUCAAAAUCGCAGUCGAAACUAUCGGACUAGAGUAUAGUAGAGGUAAAGGGAAUUUCCAGUGGAGCGGUGAAAUGCGUAGAGAUUGGAAAGAACACCGAUGGCGAAGGCACUUUACUGGGCUAUUACUGACACUCAGAGACGAAAGCUAGGGUAGCAAAUGGGAUUAGAUACCCCAGUAGUCCUAGCCGUAAACAAUAGAUACUAGUAGUGUACAGAUACGACCUACGUGCAGUACCAACGACUAACGUACGUUAAGUACUACCGUCCGUCGGAAGUAGUGCACGACAGUAGUAGAACUACAAUAGAAGUUAGUACGGCGUGAGACGUGCCGAACGGACGACGACGAGGGAGGUAGG
rnacentral:rRNA from 1 species